rnacentral:siRNA from 1 species
GAUCCGUAACUUCGGGAAAA